rnacentral:rRNA from 1 species
UUCGCAAUGCCCGAAAGGGUGACGAAGCGACGCCGCGUGUGGGAAGAAGGCCUUCGGGUUGUAAACCACUGUUGGGAGUUAGGAAGUGUGGAGGUGUUAAUAGUGCUUUCACUUGACUAAAGCUCCAGAGGAAGCCACGGCUAACUCUGUGCCAGCAGCCGCGGUAAUACAGAGGCGGCAAGCGUUGUUCGGAAUUAUUGGGCGUAAAGAGCACGUAGGCGGCUCUGCAAGUCAGCUGUGAAAGCCUUCUGCUUAACGGAAGAACGGCAGUUGAAACUACAGGGCUUGAGUGCGGGAGGGGAGAGUGGAACUUCUGGUGGAGCGGUGAAAUGCGUAGAUAUCAGAAGGAACGCCGGCGGCGAAAGCGGCUCUCUGGUCCGUAACUGACGCUGAGUGUGCGAAAGCUAGGGGAGCAAACGGGAUUAGAUACCCCGGUAGUCCUAGCCGUAAACGAUGGGCACUAAGUAGAGGGGUUUU